UGGGGGAUAUUGCACAAUGGGCGAAAGCCUGAUGCAGCGACGCCGCGUGGGGGAUGAAGGCCUUCGGGUUGUAAACUUCUUUUGCUCUGAACAAGGCGCACCAUGGGGUGUGUUGAGUGUCGGGGUUGCUUAGAGCCGGCUAACUACGUGCCAGCAGCCGCGGUAAUACGUAGGGCGCGAGCGUUGUCCGGAAUUAUUGGGCGUAAAGGGCUUGUAGGUGGCUGGUUGCGUCUGUCGUGAAAGCUCAUGGCUUAACUGUGGGUUUGCGGUGGGUACGGGCUGGCUUGAGUGCAGUAGGGGAGGCUGGAAUUCCUGGUGUAGCGGUGGAAUGCGCAGAUAUCAGGAGGAAUACCGGUGGCGAAGGCGAGUCUCUGGGCUGUUACUGACACUGAGGAGCGAAAGCAUGGGGAGCGAACAGG
rnacentral:rRNA from 1 species